AAUCUUUUAGCUUAAAUAAAGCCUGUGUUUUGAAAGCACAAGAUAAAUAAUAUUUAAAGAUUU
rnacentral:tRNA from 1 species